rnacentral:lncRNA from 1 species
AUUCCUGGUGGAGGAGAGGAGGGGGCACAUCUGCAUGAUGCAGGGAAUGAUCUCAGAUUGCUGCUCUACAAAGCAGCUUUCACAGGUGGUUAGGCCAUUGUUGCUCUGUGGCUGAUGGGCAGUAGGAUGAGGUGAAGAAUUAGUUCUGUUUCUGUCCCCAGGCCAAAAUGGCCUUCUAACUGGUUUCUUUUUUGGAGCGUAUUGAGAGGAGGUGUUAAAGUUAUUUAUUUAUUUAUUUCAUUGUCGCCUAAACUGUUAAAGUUGCUUUCCAGACCCUUUUUCACUUUUUUUUUUCCAUCUUUAAAAGGUUGCCUUCAUGCUGUUCUUCGAUGGAAGCAGCUGUUGUCAGCAAAAGAUUUUGGAGUAGCUGGUAUCUAUCCAUAGGCAGCACAAAGCCCUGUUGGAGCCUAAUGUAACUGGAUUUAUUUUGGGUGCCCCACAAGGAAGUCUAUGUAAAGUCUUACUGGUCUCCUAUGAUAAAAAACAGCUGUUUUGUCUGUAAGCAUUGUAUGUUACAGCUUCCCACAGCUAUUCCCAGUGCCUAAUUCUCUAGUGAACACUUUUUAUCGGUGCAAAAAUAUGGUUGGGUGAAAACUCUGUUCCCUGAUACAGGUGGGGAGAGCUUUUCCUUAGAAACUGAGGAGUGUGGAGAGUAAGGGGCGAGACACACAUGAUACUGAAGUUUGCAAAAGGCUUUUCCUUUACUGUCACAUGGCUCACCAUACAGACACUUGUAUUUCACAGUGUACUUACCUAUUCUUUAUAGAGCCUGGUUAAUAAGCAUUGCUCGCAUGUGGUGUGCAGCAACCGCUACACUAAACUUGUGUAAUGCUGGUAUGUUGGAGAAGUUUUCCAUUUAUGCUUGCUCCUUAAAAUGCCUCAGCUGGCUUGCCUAAUAAAAAAAAAACCAACCUAGGGGCUUUUCUAGAGGAUAGGAACAUAUAUGCGCUCUGAUUAGGGAUUAAAUGCAAAUUCUCCUGGGUGAAUUAAGGUCUGAUUUCAAUUGAAACCUAAAAAAUAAAGCUUGCAACAUGUAGUUUAA